rfam:Myotis lucifugus cont2.47560, whole genome shotgun sequence.
AUCACCUCUCGGCCUUUUGGCUCAGAUCAAGUGCAGUAUCUAUUCUUAUUGGUUUAACAAUACACUGCAAGUCAUGAUCCUAAGCCCUGUAAUUUAAUUAAUUUUCCUGCUACUCUGC